rnacentral:rRNA from 1 species
CUACGGGCCGCUCCAGUGAGGAAUAUUGCACAAUGGGGGGAACCCUGAUGCAGCAACGCCGCGUGGAGGAUGACGCAUUUCGGUGUGUAAACUCCUUUUAUAUGUCAAGAAAAUGACGGUAGCAUAUGAAUAAGCACCGGCUAACUCCGUGCCAGCAGCCGCGGUAAUACGGAGGGUGCAAGCGUUACUCGGAAUCACUGGGCGUAAAGGACGCGUAGGCGGGGUGGAAAGUCAGGUGUGAAAUCCUACAGCUUAACUGUAGAACUGCACUUGAAACUUCUAAUCUAGAGUAUGGGAGGGGGAGAUGGAAUUAGUGGUGUAGGGGUAAAAUCCGUAGAUAUCACUAGGAAUACCUAAAGCGAAGGCGAUCUCCUGGAACAUUACUGACGCUAAGGCGUGAAAGCGUGGGGAGCAAACAGGAAUAGAUACCCUGGUAGUC